rnacentral:lncRNA from 1 species
CCGAUCAUCGUUGGAGGUUCCAAUUCGUUUAUCGAGGCGCUUGUCCACGACAACUCUCAUAAUUUUCGUACGAGGUAUGAUUGUUGUUUCCUAUGGGUCGAUGUGUCUAUGAACGUACUACAUUCAUUUUUGUACGAACGAGUGGACGCAAUGAUGGAGCUAGGUAUGAUUGACGAGGUAAGAAACAUGUUCAAUCCAAAAAACACAGAUUAUACCAAAGGCAUACGUAAAGCAAUUGGUGUACCAGAAUUUGACAGUUAUUUUCGAGCUGAAUUAUCAAACUCAUUAGACGUGGAGACGCGCGAGAGGCUACUGAAGGAAGCUAUUAAUGAAGUGAAAAUCAAUAACUGUAUACUAGCCAGUAAACAAUUAGAAAAAAUAAAGAGACUGAUAAAUGUUAAGGGAUGGAAAAUUCAAAGAUUAGAUGCAACAGAAGUUUUUAGGAGGAAACAGAGAAAUGAAGAGGAAGAAGCAGAGGAAAUUUGGAAGAAUAUGGUGAUGGGACAGAGCAUAAAGAUUGUGGGUAAAUUUUUAUGCGAAAAUAAUAGGAGCAAAAUGGUUUACAGAAAUGAUGUGACAGCCAUUAAGAGAGCAGCAGCAUCGGCCAUAGCUCAAUAUUAGAGCAAGUUGUGCAUUAAUCUGAAGACCUUUUUUUUGUACCUUAGUCGCGUGAUCGAUCGCCAGUUUUGGGAGAUAACAUUCAUAUAUGUCCACUUUUAGCAUAUAGUUUAUUUUAU